UGAGGAAUCUUCCACAAUGGACGAAAGUCUGAUGGAGCAACGCCGCGUGCAGGAAUAAGGCCUUCGGGUUGUAAACUGCUUUUAUAUGGGAAGAUUAUGACGGUACCAUAUGAAUAAGGACCGGCUAACUACGUGCCAGCAGCCGCGGUAAUACGUAGGGUCCAAGCGUUAUCCGGAAUCACUGGGCGUAAAGCGUACGUAGGCGGCGUGUUAAGUGUGAUGCGAAAUCUAGUGGCUCAACCAUUUAGACUGUAUCGCAUACUGGCAUGCUAGAGGACGACAGAGGCAAGUGGAAUUGAUAGUGUAGCAGUGAAAUGCGUAGAUAUUAUCAGGAACACCAAUGGCGAAGGCAGCUUGCUGGGUCGUCCCUGACGCUGAGGUACGAAAGCGUGGGGAGCGAACAG
rnacentral:rRNA from 1 species